GUGUGGUGCUGAGAACAGAGCGGAAGAGAAACAAUGUCGAGUAAAAACGCAGAGUAAAAGCAGUCAUGGAGUCUCACUUUGCAGUGUCUGUUUCUUAACACGCAGGGAAACGUGAUUACUGUAGAAGCCUGGAUGCUAAAACAACAUUUGGAUAUUUUUGGCACAGGAGUGGGGCUGGACGUUCAGCUCAUCUGCGCGAAGGUCUUUACUUGGGCCUGCUUGUUCAGCUGCUGCAGCCUGGACAGAGACACCAGCUCUCACCCUGCAGAGAAGUGUCACCACUUCAUCUGUGACUGCAGAGACAAAACCAGACAAUCUGAUCCAUGACAGACAGGCCUCCAGGUGUCACCACUGCGUCCACAACACUGUACAUGAUCAGAGAGUCUGAGAAUACUGAAUAUAAACAGUAAUGUCAGUGCUCUGUGUUGGACAGUUGAUGUGAAGCUGUUUGUGAAUUACCUGGAGGCCUCUGUCCUGGUCUCACAGAACUUCUUCAUUGCACGAAGACUCUCUGGAAUUGUGGACUAUGUUUCUGCGAUCGUGGACAAUGUCUCUGAGAUUGUGACAUUUUUGGACCGUUUCCGACGCCUUACCCGACGGUGACAUUUUUUGACAAUUUAUUUUAAUGCUUUAUCAGAUUAUAACAUUUUUACCAUACUAUGACAAUUUUUGACACCUUAUACUAUGACAUUUUUUUUCACAUUUUUCUGAUGCCUUAAUAUACUAUGACAUUUUUUGACCAUUUUUCAUGCCUUACUACACUAUGACAUUGUUUGAUGGUUUUUGCUGUCUUACUAUACUAAAGCAUUUUUUGUCUUACUUAUGUGGCUUGAGACAAAGAAACUCUUAAAGCAGCCAUGUUGCCUUUGUUUUCCACAGACAUUCAUACACUCACAACUCUACACAGUGUUUGUGGGUUAGGUAUUGUGUUUGCGAUUUCUUUUUGGUAUUUUGUUAUUACAAACAGUGUAAUAUGUGUACAUAGUUUUAUUUUAUACUGUUCAUAUUGUUUAUAAUUUUCAUGAAUUGUUAUACAUGAUCUUGUUUAGUAUCUUGUCUUGUUUUUAUCAGGCCUUCUUUUUCCCGCUGGGGGACUAAUUAUGGAUUAUCUUACUCUUACUCAAAUAAAUGCUUCUGAACACUGAA